rnacentral:rRNA from 1 species
CCUANGGGUGGCUGCAGUCGAGGAUCUUUCGCAAUGGGGGAAACCCUGACGAAGCGACGCCGCGUGAGCGAUGAAGGCCUUCGGGUCGUAAAGCUCUGUCACGAGGGAAGAAAAGGCUGGAAAUGAAUAAUUUCCAGUUUUGACUGUACCUCGAGAGGAAGCCACGGCUAACUCUGUGCCAGCAGCCGCGGUAAUACAGAGGUGGCAAGCAUUGUUCGGAUUCAUUGGGUGUAAAGGGUCUGUAGGCGGUUCAGUAAGUCGGGUGUGAAAUCCCAUGGCUCAACCAUGGAACUGCGCUCGAAACUGCUAGACUAGAGUUUGGAAGAGGAAGAUGGAAUUCCCGGUGUAAGGGUGAAAUCUGCAGAUAUCGGGAGGAACACCAGUUGCGAAGGCGAUCUUCUGGUCCAAAACUGACGCUGAGAGACGAAAGCUAGGGGAGCAAACGGGAUUAGAUACCCUANUANUC